UUUAAUUGAAGAGUUUGAUCAUGGCUCAGAUUGAACGCUGGCGGCAGGCCUAACACAUGCAAGUCGGGCGGUAACAGGGAGAAGCUUGCUUCUCUGCUGACGAGCGGCGGACGGGUGAGUAAUGUAUGGGGAUCUGCCUGAUGGAGGGGGAUAACUACUGGAAACGGUAGCUAAUACCGCAUAAUGUCCACGGACCAAAGCGGGGGACCUUCGGGCCUCGCACCAUCAGAUGAACCCAUAUGGGAUUAGCUAGUAGGU
rnacentral:rRNA from 1 species